rnacentral:lncRNA from 1 species
CAAGGAGGACGAACACGAUGGGCAGAACAGGCUGGGGCUGGAUUUCAGAAGGUGCAGAACCUAGGCAUCAGCCUGCCAUUUCUUUUGCAUGAUGGUGUAUGAAUCUCUUAAGCGACUCUACACCACAUCCUCUCUGCACAGUGAUGACAGUGCUUGGAGAAAUUUCACCUGUGCCUUUAUUCUGGACUUCCGAUAGUAUCUGUGCAGCCAUCCCAGCUCAGUAUAUGUGGUGAACGUUUCUAAUGAACUUGUACCUAGAAGCCACCGGGUUCACUUCUAACACAGGUAUCUGGGUCUCUUGUUCGUGGUAUAGGUGUCCCGGGACAACUCACACCAGCCUUGCCCACCUCCAGGAACUCUGCAUUCGGCCAUCAAGAACGCUCAGGAGACAGCAGGAGUGUGAAAGAUGCUGAGGCAAAAUUGAGGAUGAAGGAACUUUGGAUACGACAAUGUGCUGCUUUUACGAAUGAGAGCCGAUAAUGAGACUGUGGAGCCUUCAAUUUAUGAUGUAUCUGACAGCAUUGUGGUGGAUCUGAUUUGGGAUGCAUGUGAUUAUGUCUGCAAGCUGAAAAUAAACCAGCUGGUAUUUGUUCUGAAAAUGUUCUGAGAACACCCUUCUGUUAAUGGCCCAUGGCUUGAUCCAGCAUCUGGUAAACUAAUAUAUUGUCAUUUUUACCAUGAAAGUUAGCUCAAAUCAUUAAUGAUUCCACAGCCAUUUGCAGUCUUCUCUUGUCUAGAAUACACCAAUUACCAUGAAAUUAUUCCUAUUAACUACAUGAUUGAAUGAUAGUAACCUGACUGUAACUUGUUGGCAGAAAUUCUCUCAUAAUGACAAUAAUGAACUGUGCAUUUGAGUCCUUGCUGGGCUCUGUUAAACAGGGGGAGGUUGGUUAUUAUAUGUUUCUAACCUAUCAUGAACAGUACUUCUUAAUGACUAUGUGAAUUGGAGGAAAUGUGAUGUUUUGUAGAUUUGUUUGAAUAUGGGAAUUUACUGUUUUUGUUUCAUUUGUUUGGGGAAGGAAUCACUGCGUGCCAUUAAAAAUGAUGUUCAGAGACUACUUUUUGAUGUGUGCACAUUAUGAUCAUUGCCAGUAUAUGGAGCCUACCACGGCCAUGCUCUCAUAAUGCACAGUGUCUGAUUUUUAAAUGAGAUCUUUCACAUAGAAUUAUUACCUAAGAAAUAAUACCCAUCAGCAUAAGUGACCCUAAAAAACCCAGAAAGUCCAAUACUGCCAUGAGAUUGAUAAAUUAAUUUACAUUUUUCUUUGCCGACUCUAGAUGUGUAAGGCCACCUGUGUUGCCCAACUGAAAAUGCAAUAUCAGAAAGUUGGUCGUUCAAUAUGUACAAGGGGCUUUGGGAAGGCCUAGGAAGCCCCGUAAGUUCCUGGUAGGCCUUCGGCAUGGGAGUGGGGCAGAUGAAUGGUAUUCUCCACAGAUCCGAAGAAGCUCACUUAACAUAUUGGGCACUUCUUCUGGCCCAUCUCCGUCCUUUUAUCCUGGAAACCGUUUUAGGCUGAUGUGACUCAAAGCCCCUUGCAUAAGCUGUAUAGUAUCCUCAUGUCCUCUUUCUAGGGGUUCUGUAACACUCUGGCAGGAAAAAGGAGACUGUCAGCCUGUGCUGUGAUUUAUUUCUAAAAUGUCCCCUAAAGCCUCAUGUGUUCCCAGGUGGGCCUUCUAGGAGUAGCUGGAUGGUGGGUGUGUGAUACCAGAUUAAGGAUGUGUGGUAACUGAAGUAGUCCACUAAUUGGGUUAGCAUAGUUGGGUGUGAAUGAUGGGAAGGGCAGUCUUUCACUCAGUUGCUUGCACCAGAAUUCAUGUCAGGUCAGCUUCCAGGUCUUCUUCCAUGUUUCUUCUUUUCUAGUCCCUCAAUCCUGUGUCUGGUGCCUCUCUCAAAAUGAACUACCUGCUUUUAAGUUUAUGCUUGGGCUCUGGUCUCCAGACUAGGGUGUGGAUGUUGGGAGGGGAACCUGGACCAAGAUGAGGAAUGAUAGCACUAUGUUUUGGGGCUCCACUCUGCUUCUAGCUGGACUAGGUCCAAAUGAUUCUUACUGCAUAUCCUUUUGAGGGAAGUCAUACUUAGGAAGAAUUAAGCAUCAUAUGAUUAUAAACGACAGUGAAUGAGUCAGAUAACAAAUAUAGAAAUUGAGAGGCCUAUUAUUUAUGGCUAACAACAAUACCAAAGAUUUCAGAACAGAACUGAACUGCAGAAAGAGGAACACAUUUGGGAGGGAAGAAAGGAAUAGGGGGAGGAAAUUCAGCUUGGGAAGGCCAUGUGAAUGAAGGGUCUGGGUGAAUUUGAAAAUCGUUAGUUCGGGGGACCCUGAUGUUGCUAUCCAUGUGGGAACAGAGACUUCACUCUGCAGUGGUCAGAUAGGUUUGGAAUGUUAUUUUAUUCAUUCGCUUAGCAGCUCUCUUUUGAACACCUGUGAGUUACAGAUAUUAUGAUAGAUACUGGAAGUGAUAAACAAAAUAGAAAUUGUUCCUACUCUGAGAGAGUUUGCAGUAUAACCUGAAAGAAAUGACCAGGGUGCAAUGACAGAAAAUAAUAAGGACCUCAUAUGUUAGAUUGGGUAGACUGAGGAGUCCGCUCUAAGAAAAUAAUGCUUAAGUGAGGUCAAAAGAAUAGAAAGGAAGGGGCUCUACUGGUGUGUAGAUUUGUUUGAAUGUGGGAACUUACAGUUUGUAUUUAAUUUAUUUGGGGAAAGAAUCACUGUAAAGGAGAUGGGGCAAGAAGGAAUGACACAGGCAAGAUCAGACAAGAAAUGCCUCCAUGGUUUAGAGCUACAAAAGGCCGUGUGACUAGAGAGCACUUGACUGGAAAGGGAGGUUGCAGCAGCCUUGGAUGCUUACUGUCUUGGGCUUUACAUAGAAAGUUUGCUGACUUCUAGCUAAAGAAUUAAAAACUAAAUCACAUUUGCAUUCAAAGUACAUAAAAUUUGAGUAUAGUUGCAUCAAACUUCUAAUUAUAAAAAUUAGAAAAGUUAAAAUUAUUUUUAAAUG